rnacentral:rRNA from 1 species
GACGAACGCUGGCGGCGUGCUUAACACAUGCAAGUCGAACGAAGAGCGAUGGAAGCUUGCUUCUAUCAAUCUUAGUGGCGAACGGGUGAGUAACGCGUAAUCAACCUGCCCUUCAGAGGGGGACAACAGUUGGAAACGACUGCUAAUACCGCAUACGAUCUAAUCUCGGCAUCGAGGAUAGAUGAAAGGUGGCCUCUACAUGUAAGCUAUCACUGAAGGAGGGGAUUGCGUCUGAUUAGCUAGUUGGAGGGGUAACGGCCCACCAAGGCGAUGAUCAGUGGCCGGUCUGAGAGGAUGAACGGCCACAUUGGGACUGAGACACGGCCCAGACUCCUACGGGAGGCAGCAGUGGGGAAUCUUCCGCAAUGGACGAAAGUCUGACGGAGCAACGCCGCGUGAGUGAUGACGGCCUUCGGGGUUGUAAAGCUCUGUUAAAUCGGGACGAAAAGGCCUUUCCUUGCGAAAUAAGUU